rnacentral:rRNA from 1 species
CCUACGGGUGGCAGCAGUGGGGAAUAUUGGACAAUGGGGGGAACCCUGAUCCAGCCAUGCCGCGUGUGUGAAGAAGGCCCUCGGGUUGUAAAGCACUUUCAGUGAGGAAGAACGCCUGGUGGUUAAUACCCAUCAGGAAAGACAUCACUCACAGAAGAAGCACCGGCUAACUCCGUGCCAGCAGCCGCGGUAAUACGGAGGGUGCGAGCGUUAAUCGGAAUUACUGGGCGUAAAGCGCGCGUAGGUGGCUUGAUAAGCCGGUUGUGAAAGCCCCGGGCUCAACCUGGGAACGGCAUCCGGAACUGUCAAGCUAGAGUGCAGGAGAGGAAGGUAGAAUUCCCGGUGUAGCGGUGAAAUGCGUAGAGAUCGGGAGGAAUACCAGUGGCGAAGGCGGCCUUCUGGACUGACACUGACAUUGAGGUGCGAAAGCGUGGGUAGCAAACAGGAUUAGAUACCCUUGUAGUC